UUCUCUAUGAGUGGGUUCGAAGAGACACUAUUCGCUAUUUAGUGUUACAAACUUCGCGAAGGUGCAGAUAUCGCUAACAAAUACAAUCAUGACUAAUGUACGAAUAGUGUUUCCCCAAACGCACCCUAUACUGCCGGAUUCGCUAAAUGGAAUAACUUGCAACAUUUCGUCGCCAUAUUGAACAUUCAUAUAUGUACGAUGUAUGAUAAGUGUCACUGUUCGUGAAUUAUAUUUAAAUGUAGAAAUAAAAUAAGUUGCUUUAUAAAUAAUGGCUUGUUGCAUGGAUGCAAUUUCAGAAGAGACAAAAAAGGAACAGCAAGAAAAAGCUUGUUUACAUCUCGCACAAAUGAUAUGUUUACUUCUUGGUACAAUAUUAUGUCUACUAAAAAUAUAAAAAUAAAUAGGAAUAGCAGAGUUUGUGAAUUACAUUUUAAGUCAGAAGAUAUUAUUAAAGAAGAUGUAUUUAUGCAAGCAGAUGGAAAAAUCAUUUAUGUGACAAGAAAAAAUCCAAAAUUAAAAGAAGAAGCAGUUCCUUUAAUUUUUCCAAUAAAAAAGACACCAUAUUUUGAGCCGAUGGAAUAAUAAUAUUGAUGACGUUAUCUUAUAAAAGUUUCUAACUGAAUGUGAAACUUCUGAAACAGUUUUAUAUUUAGCAGAAAAAUAAUUCCUUCUACAUUAUAUAUAAUAAAUAAAGCAUUGCAAAUAGAAAA
rnacentral:misc_RNA from 1 species